rnacentral:rRNA from 1 species
AAGCAAUACGACGUCACGCCUGCCAGUGACUUUUACGGCCGCACGAUCCUAACCGCGCGAAGGUGGCAUAAUCACUUGUUCUUUAAAUGGGGACUUGUAUCAACGGCAUCACGAGGGUGUUACUGUCUCCUCUUUUAAAUCACUGAAAUUGAUCUUCCCGUGAAGAAACGGGAAUACCCCUAUAAGACGAGAAGACCCUAUGGAGAGAGA